UACGGAGGGUGCAAGCGUUAAUCGGAAUUACUGGGCGUAAAGCGCACGCAGGUGGCUGAGUCAGUCGAUUGUGAAAGCCCUGGGCUUAACCUGGGAAUUGCAGUCGAUACUACUCAGCUCGAGUAUGGGAGAGGGUAGUGGAAUUCCACGUGUAGCGGUGAAAUGCGUAGAGAUGUGGAGGAACACCAGUGGCGAAGGCGGCUCUCUGGACAGGUACCGACGCUGAGACACGAAAGCUAGGGGAGCAAACAGG
rnacentral:rRNA from 1 species